GGGGAUGUAACGGUUUCGACGGGGGCGCGGAGGCAGGAAUAGCGGGCGGAUGCGCCUGACAUCCAUAAAACGGGCAAUCUUUAUAAAUUAAAGAACAAACCUUUUACCGUUAGAAACGGUCUUCUCGCAGCUUAAUUGCGAGCGUUCCGCCUGAGAGUACCACGGCUCGGGAUGGGGCGUCGACGAGUGGUGCACGUGAGUGCGCAAAGCUUUGAGCGUGCCAUGAACAAUGAAGCUACCAAGCCGGUGAGUGUGACGGCUCACGCUCCGGCGAGGGAAUGUAAAUAACCGUCUGCGCCCGGAGAGGUUCCUGUUGAUGUACUUUCGGACAGGGGUUCAACUCCCCUCAUCUCCAUUU
rnacentral:tmRNA from 1 species